GACGUAGGGCGCGAGCGUUGUCCGGAUUUAUUGGGCGUAAAGAGCUCGUAGGCGGCUUGUCGCGUCGACUGUGAAAACCCGCGGCUCAACUGCGGGCCUGCAGCCGAUACGGGCAGGCUAGAGUUCGGUAGGGGAGACUGGAAUUCCUGGUGUAGCGGUGAAAUGCGCAGAUAUCAGGAGGAACACCGGUGGCGAAGGCGGAUCUCUGGGCCUUACCUGACGCUCAGGUGCGAAAGCUAGGGGGAGCGAACAGG
rnacentral:rRNA from 1 species